rnacentral:lncRNA from 1 species
UAGCCCAUGUCCAAAUUAAUACGGACUAAUAUGGAUAGUCCAUAUUCGUCCGGAAAAAUGUGUGUCCAAAUAGACGAGGCCCAAAUAAACCAAUGGCCCAAAUGGGCAAAACCAGAUGGACAUGGACGGCCCAAAUUUUUAAAAUGUUUAGGGUUAAUCGAUUUGGGAAAAAAAUCAGAAUUCCCUUUUCGUGAAUCACGAGAGAGAGCUCGAUCUUCUUCACUUCAUCUUAUUCACUCUCGUAACCCAAAUGUUCCAUCAAAUCUCUCUCCCGUAACUCAAACGGUCAAACCCAAACGUUCUCGUAAGCCGACUUGUUUCAGGUUUGUUACAGUCUCUCUCUCUCGAUUUAGGGAUUAGGGAUUUUGGGAUUUGGGAAUAUCUUCUUCUCUCUCGAAUAUCGAUCUAAGCCUCUAAAGUGUAAUGGGUCUUUCUAGAUUCAAUGUUUGCGAUUCUAGAUUUGAUGGGUUUGCGAGCUCUUUAAAAGUUGUAGAGUUCGACUUAGUUCGAUUAUAGACUUGUAGAGUUUGGAUUUCAUCGAUAGCUCUUAGUUUAAGACUUUAAGUAUCUUUUGUUAAAACAUGAAGUUUAAGUAAGUUCAAAAUGUUAUAUUUGACAUUUAGAAUAUGUACAUCUUUUAAAUUGAAAAUUAGAUUUUUUACAUUAAGUGGACAUCUGGAUUCCAUGGACAGUCCAACUGGACAUGGUCCUAUUUGGUUAUGGUCCUAUUUGGAAAUGGUAUUAUUUGGGCUUUGACCAAACGUGCCCAAAAAAAAAAAGUCCAUCUGGACACACCCAAAUCCGUCCGGACGACCCAUUUGAC